GUCCCUUUGGAGGCAUCAAAUAAAAUUGGAAUAAUACAGAGAAGAUCAGCAUGCACCUGCAUGUGCAAGGAUAACACGCACAAACCGAUAAAUUAAAUUUCC